GUAUUGACAGGACUGCAUUUGUUCUGAAUUUUCAUUUCAGGUAAAUAACGAUUCUUAAGUGGAAAAAAAUUCUAAUUAACUGAUAUUUUCAGUCAGUAUGUCACUCACGCUUUACUUUCUUUCUAAAUAAGCAAAGGCAAAAGUAUUUGGUCAUAUAAGCAGUCACCAACGCAAAUACUAAAACCAUCACCAUUAAUGUCAAAAUAACAUCUAUAGACUGAUACUCAAUCCAGGACAUUCUGAAAGACUGUGUCCGUAAAUGAGGAGCUCCUUUAUUCCUCAUGACAAACUCAAUCCAGAAGAUGGCACGAUCAAGAGGUUUCAUUGGCUGGUCGUGGUGCAGCUUGGACAGUCUCUGCAUGUUCUCUCUGUAAGACGGAUUAUGCAACACUUCCUUCAACGCCUCCAGAAACACAGCCCUGUCCAAAGUUGCAAAUUCUACAAUUUUUGCUGUUCCCUUUGCUCGCAUCCUGGAGAGAUUAUCAGGCUGAUCAAAAGCUAAAGGAAGGCCUACAAUGGGCACCCCGUGAUAGAUGGCUUCCUGAAGUCCAUUGGUGCCUCCAUGUGCUACAAACAGUUUAGUUUUAGGAUGUCCAAGCAAGUCAUUCUGGGGCAGCCAGUUCACAAUCAAAGUAUUGUUGCCAAGGUUUGCAGGUCGUGGACCUGUGUAUCUCCAAAUGACUUUUUGAGGCAGUUGAGCGAAUGCUGCAGCAAUUUCAUCAUUGAGUUCACUCAGAAGCUGACCAAAAACUGUCCCCAAACUCAUCAUGAUCACCCCAUGUUCUCCAGAGCUCUGCACAAACUCCUCAAGAUCACCUGGAAGUGGCUUCGCAGGUUUGCACUGGAAGCCUCCCAUGUAGACCACAUUUGGCAUCGUGGGUCGUGGAAACUCAAAAGUAAAAUCGUUUCUCAUGAGCCAGAGGUCUGCAUCCUGAAGAAGCGAGAAGAAAUUAACAUUGGGGCCAAAAUAUUUCUGGGUGAGCUCUUGGUAAGGAGAACCAAAGUUCUUGGAAUAUUUAUAGCGAAUCAUUAUAUAUGUCAUCAUGUUCAUGACUCUCUGACUGAAUGUCAUCUUGUCCGUUAGUUGUAAGCCUGAAACAGGUACAUAUGAGAGAGGAGAUGGAGCUAUAUCAAAAUGGGCUUCUCCAUAUACGGUCCAGCGGACAUUAUACACGAGAGGGAGUCCAAGACGAUGUGCUAGUAAUACACCACUUCCAUAAGCAGGAUCCGUCAGGACAACAUCAUAUGCAGCAUCUUUAAGAGAAUUCAUCAAGGUUUCAUUUUCAAACAAUAUUGCUGUCAUAUUGCAGGAUUGCUUAUGAGUCUCUGUAACAAAGUGAAUCAUUUCGUCAGCAAGUGCCAUUUCAUUCCAAAAUGAUUUUCCUUGUCUCUGAAUUUUCAGUAAGUGAGGGAGGAACUUCUCCAUGAAGUCAUCAUCAAAUACCCCGUUGUCCACAGUGAUAGAAGUGUAGAGAGGAGACUGUUCCUCAAUGUACCAGCUGCUAGAACCUCGGACCACGGUGAUACUGUGACCCCUCGAAUGUAAUUCCACAAUAAGGACUUUCAUAUUGACCCAGUGACUUCCUUCCACAGGAACCACGAGAAGUUUACCAGCGUAAGAUCUUGAAAGGACACAUAACAGAAGGAACAAUCCGAGAUGGAUGUGGGAAUGCAUCUUUGCUGCUAACCUUAAAUAAGAAAG
rnacentral:lncRNA from 1 species